rnacentral:RNase_P_RNA from 1 species
GGAGUUGGCCAGGCAAUCGCUGCCUUGUCGUUGUGCCGGUAGACCUUAGGGUAUAAAGCAGACGGGCAAGGGGGAGGAAAGUCCGGGCUCCAUAGGGCAGGGUGCCAGGUAACACCUGGGGGGCGUGAGCCCACGACCAGUGCAGCAGAGAGCAGACCGCCGAUGGCACUUCCUCGGGAGUGCACAGGUAAGGGUGAAAGGGUGCGGUAAGAGCGCACCGCGCGGCCAGUAAUGGUUCGUGGCACGGUAAACUCCACCCGGAGCAAGACCAAAUAGGCCCCCAUUGGCGUGGCCCGCGUUGGGGGCGGGUAGGUUGCUUGAGCCUGGGAGCGAUCCCAGGCCUAGAGGAAUGAUUGCCGCCGCGCAAGCGGAGACAGGACCCGGCUUAUCGGCCAACUCCAACC